GAUGAACGCUGACAGAAUGCUUAACACAUGCCAGUCAACUUGAAUUUGGGUUUUUAACUUAGGUUUGGGUGGCGGACGGGUGAGUAACGCGUAAAGAACUUGCCUCACAGCUAGGGACAACAUUUGGAAACGAAUGCUAAUACCUAAUAUUAUGAUAAUAGGGCAUCCUAUAAUUAUGAAAGCUAUAAGCGCUGUGAGAGAGCUUUGCGUCCCAUUAGCUAGUUGGAGAGGUAACGGCUCACCAAGGCGAUGAUGGGUAGCCGGCCUGAGAGGGUGAUCGGCCACAAGGGGACUGAGACACGGCCCUUACUCCUACGGGAGGCAGCAGUGGGGAAUAUUGGACAAUGGACCAAGAGUCUGAUCCAGCAAUUCUGUGUGCACGAUGAAGUUUUUCGGAAUGUAAAGUGCUUUCAGUUGGGAAGAAAGAAAUGACGGUACCAACAGAAGAAGUGACGGCUAAAUACGUG
rnacentral:rRNA from 1 species